CCUACGGGGGGCAGCAGUGAGGAAUAUUGGUCAAUGGGCGGGAGCCUGAACCAGCCAAGUCGCGUGAGGGAAGACGGUCCUAUGGAUUGUAAACCUCUUUAGGCGGGGAGCAAUGCCGGGCACGCGUGCCCGGCUGGAUAGUCCCCGCAGACUAAGCCUCGGCUAACUCCGUGCCAGCAGCCGCGGUAAUACGGAGGAUGCGAGCGUUAUCCGGAUUGAUUGGGUUUAAGGGGUGCGUAGGCGGAUUUUUAAGUCAGCGGUAAAAUGUCCGGGCUCAACCCGGGCCGGCCGUUGAAACUGGGGAGCUGGAGUGGGCGAGAAGUAUGCGGAAUGCGUGGUGUAGCGGUGAAAUGCAUAGAUAUCACGCAGAACUCCGAUUGCGAAGGCAGCAUACCGGCGCCCGACUGACGCUGAGGCACGAAAGCGUGGGGAUCGAACAGGAUUAGAUACCCCUGUAGUC
rnacentral:rRNA from 1 species